GCACCGGUGGCAGAGUUGGUCUAAUGCGGUAGACUUAAGAUCUACUCCCAAUUGGGAUCGUGGGUUCGAAUCCCACCCGGUGCA
rnacentral:tRNA from 1 species